rnacentral:tRNA from 1 species
GUGCUGUGCCCGAGGUAUGGUGCGCGCCGCACUGUCGCUGUGGGGCGGGUGGCUGGUGGCCACCGCGCUGGUGUUCAGCUACAUGAACGGCAUC